rnacentral:rRNA from 1 species
CCAUGGAGCUGGAAUUGCUAGUAAUGGCAGGUCAGCAUACUGCCGUGAAUACGUUCCCGGGCCUUGUACACACCGCCCGUCACACCAUGAGAGUUGGAAAUACCCGAAGCCUGUGAGCUAACAGUAAUGAGGCAGCAGUCGAAGGUAGAGCCAAUGAUUGGGGUGAAGUCGUAACAAGGUAUC